rnacentral:rRNA from 1 species
CCUACGGGGGGCAGCAGUGGGGAAUAUUGGACAAUGGGCGCAAGCCUGAUCCAGCAAUGCCGCGUGUGUGAAGAAGGCCUGCGGGUUGUAAAGCACUUUCAGUGGGGAGGAAGGCCUCGAUAUUAAUACUAUUGAGGAUUGACGUUACCCACAGAAGAAGCACCGGCUAACUCUGUGCCAGCAGCCGCGGUAAUACAGAGGGUGCAAGCGUGGAUCGGAGUUACUGGGGGUGAAUUCUGCGGUCAGAGGUGAAAGCCCCGGGCUGAACCUGGGAAUUGCAUUUGAUACUGAGUAACUUGAGUAUGGUAGAGGGAAGUGGAAGUUCCAGUGUAGCGGUGAAAUGCGUAGAUAUUGGAAGGAACAUCAGUGGCGAAGGCGACUUCCUGGACCAUUACUGACACUGAGGCACGAAAGCGUGGGGAGCGAACAGGAUUAGAUACCCCUGUAGUC